CUUUAAUACAUUUCAUUUGAAAUAAUGCACACAAAAUUGUUCACACUUAUCAAGAAAAACUUUCGUUUAUGUACCUGGAUUUUGUUCAUUAGUUAGUUUAGUGGCAGACAUUUUUUAAAACGUUAUCGCCUCAUUAUUUACUAUUUGCGAUUAACAACAAAGGCGAAAAAAGUUAAAUGAAUUCUAUCUGAGCUAUGGUUAUAAAAGAACUAAAUGAUCGGUUGCAUGGCUGCAUGGCAAUAAUUGACUUAGGAAGUUUAACUAAACCCUGCCUUCCACCGAAACAAAACAGUUACUGCUUGAGAAACUUUACAAGAGGUGCCAUAACGUGCAAAGAAAAGGGACGAGUCCGAGGAAAUUUGGACGCAACUCGGGAAUUCACAAUCAAUUUAACUGAAAAUUCAUUAUGGCGUUAAUAUAUCGACUGGUUAUAUUUCUAUGCUUGUGCGUGGUUUCAGUGUCACCAGUAUCAACAUCGGCAACAACAACAACGACAACAACGACGACAACAACAACUACAACAACAACUCCAUCCCCGGGCACAACUCGAUCCCCGGGUACAGCUCCACCCAGAAACACCGCUUCAGGUGGGGCAACAGGAGCACCCGGCAGACCAGGCAUUUCAAACUGUGGCCUAGGAUGCAAACUUGGACUACCUCGUCAAUCAUUCAACUUUGGAAACCCCAACUUUCGAGGAAUGGGAUCUGGAGGCUCCACCCUUGGUGCUGGGUUACACGGAACUCUUCAGUGUUUUUCAUUCAGUGUUGUUGCCAUCUUUGUUCACCUUACGUUAUGCUGACAUUUUUAAUAUUGCUUUAAGUUUAAGGUUUUAAUUAUUGCUGAAUCUUUUUUUUCUACAAUUAUUUCAGCAUACUUUGUAAAGGCACAGAAAACCCACCAAAAACAAUGGUUGAUAUAUGAUAUCUAAUAUUGUAAUUUUUUGUAUUUUAAUUUAUUCUGAAAAAUACAGCUUGUGAUCAAUGCAUGUUAUAAGUAAAAUUUAGUUCAGUCAAA